GACGAACGCUGGCGGCGUGCUUAACACAUGCAAGUCGAGCGGUAAGGCCCUUUCGGGGGUACACGAGCGGCGAACGGGUGAGUAACACGUGGGCGACCUACCCUCAGCUCUGGGAUAAGCCUGGGAAACUGGGUCUAAUACCGGAUAUGACUUCCUGCUGCAUGGUGGGGAGUGGAAAGUUUUUUCGGCUGGGGAUGGGCCCGCGGCCUAUCAGCUUGUUGGUGGGGUGAUGGCCUACCAAGGCGA
rnacentral:rRNA from 1 species